rnacentral:lncRNA from 1 species
AGGUGGGGACAAAGAAAUCUAACUAAAAAGGAAAAAAUUGAAUCUAAAAUCUAUUUUUGAAUAAGAAAUAAUAUGAAAUAUAAGGAAAGUAAAACCAUAUAGAAAUCUAAACUACCUAAGAUAAAAACAGUAACAGAAAAUAAUAUGAAAAUUGAAAUGCAACUAAGAUGAUCCUAAACUAAUGAAUCUGAAACUAAAAUAAACCUAGAUACCAAC